rnacentral:rRNA from 1 species
UACGGGGGGGGCAAGCGUUGUUCGGAAUUACUGGGCGUAAAGGGCUCGUAGGCGGCCAACUAAGUCAGACGUGAAAUCCCUCGGCUUAACCGGGGAACGGCAUCUGAUACUGGCUGGCUGGAGUUCGGGAGAGGGAUGCGGAAUUCCAGGUGUAGCGGUGAAAUGCGUAGAUAUCUGGAGGAACACCGGUGGCGAAGGCGGCAUCCUGGACCGGCAUUGACGCUGAGGCGCGAAAGCUAGGGGAGCAAACGGG